UGGGGGAUUUUGGACAAUGGGCGAAAGCCUGAUCCAGCGACGCCGCGUGGAGGACGAAGCCCUUCGGGGUGUAAACUCCUUUUCUCAGGGAAAAAGGAUGAUGGUACCUGAGGAAUAAGCCCCGGCUAACUACGUGCCAGCAGCCGCGGUAAUACGUAGGGGGCGAGCGUUACCCGGAAUUACUGGGCGUAAAGGGUGCGUAGGCGGCCUUGCAAGUCCGGUGUUAAAAGCCCUGGCUCAACUAGGGAGAUGCGCUGGAAACUGUAAGGCUUGGGUGCAGCAGAGGCAGAUGGAACUGCUGGUGUAGGGGUGAAAUCCGUAGAUAUCAGCAGGAACGCCGGUGGAGAAGUCGGUCUGCUGGGCUGUGACCGACGCUGAGGCACGAAAGCUAGGGGAGCG
rnacentral:rRNA from 1 species